UUUGAACAACCUCGGUCUCAU
rnacentral:miRNA from 1 species